GAUGAACGCUAGCGGCAGGCCUAAUACAUGCAAGUCGAGGGAGAAUGUUGGAUUCGUCUGACAUGAAACCGGCGCACGGGUGCGUAACACGUAUGCAACCUACCUUUAACUGGGGUAUAGCACAGAGAAAUCUGAAUUAAUCCCCCAUAAGACUACGACAUGGCAUCAUGCUGUAGCUAAAGCUACGGCGGUUAAGGAAGGGCAUGCGGUACAUUAGCUAGUUGGGGAGGUAAUGGCUCACCAAGGCUACGAUGUAUAGGGGGUCUGAGAGGAUGCACCCCCACACUGGUACUGAGCCGCGGACCAGACUCCUCCAGAAGGCAGCAGUAGGGAAUAUUGGUAAAUGGACGCAAGUCUGAACCAGCCAUGCCGCGUGAAGGAUGAGGGCCCUAUGGGUCGUAAAAUUCUUUUAUUAGGGAAGAAAAAACGGGAUGCGUCCUGUACUGACGGUACUUAAUGAAUAAGGAUCGGCUAACUUCGUGCCAGCCGCCGCCGUAA
rnacentral:rRNA from 1 species